ensembl:misc_RNA
AUGAUAUUAUAUGAGAAACUAAAAUCUUCUGUUUACGUACAGGCCAGAUACAUAGGGGGCGGGCCCAGUGCAUUCAAGCUUUCACACACAGCGCCUCCCAUCUACCUAAACUCUGAUUUGAAAGGACCACUAACUGCUGGGGUGAGAGAAGCAAUUCAUUAUUCCAUAUCCAUUCCAUCACAGAAGCCUCU